rnacentral:lncRNA from 1 species
CACAACAAAAAAAUCAUGUAGUGCUUUUUAUUAAACAUACUGGAAUUUGGAGAACUUUAACACCUGUGGUAUCUGUGCUUUCCCCACAGAAGACAUGAACAGUUAUCCUUCACCUGAACUUCAAGAAGAGUGUGAAAACUUAGAUCAGGGAGAUGCACAACAGCAAGUGUCUGUGAUUGAAAGGAUGCCUUUUCCUGGAACUGAUGAAACUGGUUAUGGUUUAGAAGACACUGAAAGAACUGAGAGUAGAGUCUUGGGGAAUAUUAGAGAGACAGCCACAGAACCUGUAUACACAAUGCCAGAAAUGAGAUAUGAUUAUGAGGAGAACAACUGUUUCACAGAGGAAGAUGCUGACGGAGAAAAGCCACAAGACUAUGGAGAAGCUCAGGAGAAUGAGGAAAAUUUGGAGGCAACAGUAGAAACUAGACCUUCCUGUAGUGAUUAUGAUGCGUGCAACCUUGUUCAAGAUAGUGGAGAAAUGUCAGAGUUAUGUUCUGAAGUGGUACUACGACAAAGAGCAGAAAAUGUGUGGUCGGUUCUGGUAUGGGGGCUGUGGAGGCAAUAAAAACAGAUUUGAAACACAAGAAGAAUGCGGAUUCUUGUGUAUAGAGUCUUCCUAGUGCAGGGUCACUUAAUUACACUAGUUCUUCAGUUACACUAUCAGGGUGAUAGGGAAAAGGGAUUUAAAGAGAAAUCUUUACAUAGCCACUUUGGUCCCACGUUUCAGUUGAAAGAAAUACUUGUUUGUGAAGUUAUUAUCUAGUAACUUUAUAGGGGAAAUAAAAUUAAAAAUACAUCACA